rnacentral:lncRNA from 1 species
UAUAAAGCUGCCCCUCUCUUAUCUCCCUUCACUGACUGUCUUUUUGGACUCAGCCCACUUGCAUCCGAGUGAAUAAACAGCCUUGCUGCUUACACAAAGCCUGUUUAGGUGGUCUUCUAUAUGGACACGCAUGACAAUAUUUACAACAAAUACCAAGGAAGAGCUAAGAGCACAUAGCAUUUCCCAGGCUUAUUAGACUGUGGGAUCAACCUCUUUAAGAAAGCAUUUUGCAGAAUUGUUGUUCACAGGUCAUUCUGCAGUGUGAAGUUUUUUUUGCAAUAAGAUCCUUACUCUAGAGUUAACUUCACUAGGAAGUACACUCUGGGUGUUUACCUUUAGAGCUUCAGUUUCUACAAGAAUUUGGCACCGGUUGGGUCUUGUAGAAAUAUUUACUGCAUGGAGUUGAAAGAAGAGUCUGGACUGGGAGAAGGAUGUAUGGAUAAAGAACAAGUCAUUUCAACCUGUUCCCUGGGAUCAUGUCAGGAGUGUGAGCUGUGCUGACCUGUAUAAAGAGACAUCACAACAGGUCAACAGAGAUGAAACAGAGCUGAAGAAACAAGCUAGAGAUGAUGAAUAGAAUCAGCCUACACCCAGUGCUCACCCCGAGACAGGCUACAGCCAAGAAAUCUCCAUCACAAACCCAAUGCCAGUGUUCUGGGGUAGGUGGAGCAGGUGUUGCUGUCCACAUACCUGAGCCUCAGAACUUCUUCCGGGAUUAUGUGACUCAUAAAUCCAGCAACAAGAACUGACUUUUCCUGGCUGUCAUUUCAGGGUUCUUUUCAGAAAACCAAGCAGCUACUGGAUACUGACCUUAUUCUAAAGGCCAACAGAAGUGGAAUAAGGUGCAAUUUGGAAUUCAAUCAAUAUUGAAGGAUGACGGUGACCUUUGGGAAAUAGGAUUCAGCGAUGUCUUUUUAAAUUCUGUUAUUUGUACAUAACGCACUCUUACAGAUUUUUUAAAAAAUCCAAUUCCACAUGAAAAACUUUUACACUGAAUUUAUUACAUUUUUAAAAAUACAUAAACUCAGACUUUAUUUUUUAUUUUUUCUUAUUUCCCUUGCUGCUGCCUAUAGGAUCUUGCACACUUGUGGCCAGUCACUCUAAAAGCAGCAAGCAUGUCUCAUGGGACUACAAACAGAGAGGCAUGCAUUUGUAUUUUUGUGGUCCUAGGACAUGGGACCAGUGCUCAUGCUGUAGGGGUUUGUGCCCAGGGAGGCUUGAGGAUGCCUGAGAAAAAGUGAUUGGGUGUCUAAACUCCAUGGCAAAAUGUCGCUUCCUAAAUAUGCCAUCUGAGUCCUUGAGAGUUGUAAUUACUCAUGGUGGCAUUCUAGCCCUGUCCUCUUUCAGCCUUAAUAAAAAAAUCAACCAACAAGUAGUGAACAUGAGACCUAAAAUGUGCUCCUUUGCGUUGAUUAUUUCUUGGCAAAUCAUGUUUUAGAAGCUCAUUAGCAGUAUGUUUUAUCAAAGAAAUAAAAGAGUUUCACACUUUCUUUUCUCUCAAUUAUCCUGUGAUAUUUCUAUUUCCUUUUGCUGAUAUCUCAGUGAGUAAAUUUACUCCUGGACAUUAUUUUAACUCAUUUUGAUGCAAACUGACUGAGGGAUAAGUAAUUGUGAAUUACUGAGGUCAAGCAGGAGGUUAUGCAUAUCGCUUUUAAAUGUUACUGACACAUCUACCAUUUUCUUAUGAGAAGUUUAUUGUUGGACCAUGUUUUCUUAGUACUUUUAAUUAAUUUACCAAUUCAAUGUAAGGGUCUUG